ensembl:lncRNA
CCCUGCCAUUCUAUUUUCCGGAGCUAUUACAGGUUGCUGUAAUGUGGAGGUUAAAAGCAUCAGGGCAGAGACAUUAUGUGGAGAUAAUUAGUGUUGAUGAAUAAUGAACUAAUUCUCCAGAUGAGGGAUGACAGCUGGCGGUUGAUGGUACUCUGUCUUCAGUAUAAUGGAAUGAGUCCCAACUAGCACCCUAUUCCCUUUCUAGUAUGUUAACUUUGACUACAGCCUGUGGGAAAGUAAUGCACUACAUAGGGAAUAAAGUGCCAUGUCGGGAGGCGGGGAAAUGGAGAGUGUGUGGGAGAAUGGGGAGGGAGAAGGGGGAGGGAUAAGGGGGAGGGAGAAGGGGGAAUGGGGGAGCUGCCCUGUCUGUCCUGAAAAAUGAAAUGAAACAUAUUUAAACACUGUUUUAGCAUAUUACCACCAGAUUACUGGGGUUGACAGAUUUUCAUUUCCAUCGUAUCUAACCAGUUGGGCAGCGUUGGGGAGAUGACAGGUCGCCAUGUCCGUCAUAUCUAACCAGUUGGGCAGCGUUGGGGAGAUGACAGGUCGCCAUGUCCGUCAUAACUAACGGGCUGGGCAGCGUUGGGGAGAUGACAGGUCGCCAUGUCCGUCAUUAUCUAACCAGUUGGGCAGCGUUGGGGAGAUGACAGGUCGUAAUUUCCGUUGUACCUAACGAGUUGGGCAGCGUUGGGUAAAUGACAGUUCGGCAUCAGUAGUCAGUUUUAGCAUAUCACCACCAGAUUUCUAGGGCUGACAGAUUUUCAUUACCGUCGUACCUAGCCGGUUGGGCAGCGUUGGGGAGAUGACAGAGCAUCAUGGCAGCAUUGAGGAGAUAACAGUUCGGUGUCAGUAGACCACAUUGACAGGCCAGACCCAGCAACACACAUGUCAGGAUAACAUGAUGGCAACAAGUCAUGGACACACAUAGACACACACACACAUAAACUGAUACAUAGACACGCAUAUGUAUUUAAACACACACACACACAAACAUUGGAAUUACUCAAUUUGAUCCCAUAUUUGAAAGGACUUGAAGGCAGCUUGAGUUACAGACCACCACUCUACAAACCUGAAAAAACAUUUCAGUGAACACUUCUCCACACAGACUGUUGAGGUCAGAGGAACAUGUUUCCAGAAAUAGAUAGAACCAUCUCUCCUGACGUGUUCUCUAUAGCACCUCUGUAGGUUACAUAACGGAGUGACAGAAACAGACAGAAAGAGGCGUUGGGAGAGAGCAGAGGGAUGAAGAGAGGGG